ACCGAGGUCAGCCACAGCGGAUCGGACUGCCCGAUGGCCUCGUCGCCCAUCUGGUCGCCGUCGGUGACGACCCCGACGAUCUCCUCCUCGCCGUACUUGCCGGCGGCGUAGCGGGUCAACCUGCCGUGCACCACGAGAUAGGCCUCCGUGACCGGUUGCCCGGCCUCGUACAGCACCUGCCCGGCCCGCACCUCGCGGACCCGGAACCUCGUGGCGACCUCCUUGAGCACGUCGGUGUCGGAGUAGCCGCGCAGCACCGGCAGUUCGGUGAGCGUCUCGGGGAUGACCCUGAUGUCGUCGGCGCCGUUCUGCUCGAACUGCACACGCCCCCGGCCGAUACGCAGCUGGAGACGCCGGUUGACCCGGUAGGUGCCGCCCUUGACGUCCACCCAGGGCAGCACCCGCAGCAGCCAGCGCGAGCUGAUGGCCUGCAUCUGCGGUUCGGACUUGGUCGUGGUGGUGAGCUGGCGCGCCGCCCGCGUGCUCAGACUGGUCGGCUGCGCCUGGC
rnacentral:antisense_RNA from 1 species